ACAUACGAUCACAGGUCGAAGAAUACAGGUCUUCCCGUCCGCUCAGCCGUACUUAAGCUUCGGACCGGCCGAUUAGUACUCAAGUGGGUGACCAUUGGGGAAUCCCGGCUGUUGUAUGUU
rnacentral:rRNA from 1 species